GACGAACGCUGGCGGCGUGCUUAACACAUGCAAGUCGAACGGAAAGGCCCUGCUUUUGUGGGGUGCUCGAGUGGCGAACGGGUGAGUAACACGUGAGUAACCUGCCCUUGACUUUGGGAUAACUUCAGGAAACUGGGGCUAAUACCGGAUAGGAGCUCCUGCUGCAUGGUGGGGGUUGGAAAGUUGCGGCGGUUGGGGAUGGACUCGCGGCUUAUCAGCUUGUUGGUGGGGUAGUGGCUUACCAAGGCUUUGACGGGUAGCCGGCCUGAGAGGGUGACCGGCCACAUUGGGAUUGAGAUGAGGCACAGACUCCUACGGGAGGCAGCAGUGGGGAAUAUUGCACAAUGGGCGGAAGCCUGAUGCAGCAACGCCGCGUGCGGGAUGACGGCCUUUGGGUUGGAAACCGCUUUCGCCUGUGACGAAGCGUGAGUGACGGUAAUGGGUAAAGAAGCACCGGCUAACUACGUG
rnacentral:rRNA from 1 species